ACUUGCUUGUCCCUAUCUACAGUUCUUCAGAGCUUCCAGCAAUGGAUGGAGAUGAAGCAGAGAGUUACUCCAUCAAAACAAGUUGGAGAACAAACAAAAUGUCAUCAAGAUUCGUAAUGGUGAGAAAAGCUUCAGGAGAUUCAAAAAGGGAAAUGGCUGGCCCUGGCCUAAUCCAAAGAGUUGCUAAAAGAUUGUUCAGGUGCCUUUUGAUUAUGAAAAAAGAUUUCCAGGAACAAUAAACACUGCUAUGCUUAUAGAUCUGAUAAGGAAAACUGGUAUUAGGUGGAUCCAAUUCUGAUCAUGAUCUUACAAAGAUAAUUUUUCCUACCCUGCAGUCAGCAGUGCAAAUUGAAAGAGCUGAGGGGAGAAUGUGUUUUUAACUUGCACUGAGACUACCAAAGUCUCUUCCCAACCUGGUGUCCUCCAAUUGAGAGGAUAGAGGGAACCAAGCACCAUAAUGCCCAUCUUUCCCCAGAUAUCAAGGUCACUAACAAAAGGACCACUAAUUCUCAUCUUGUGGAAAUGCACUAGGGAACAGAGCCUGUUCCAUCAUGGACAUCAACAAAGAAAUGGCAGAUGGCCACAUCAGAUUUUUCUCUCUGGAUCUCUGACAUCCACCCACUCCCAAUUGUACCCCAAUUUUAUUCAAGGAGAGCACAAAUUUAAUGCUACAGUGAAGUCAAGGAGUCAAAAUCACUAUUUCAGGGAGCAAAUUUUUUCAGACAAUGCCAAUAAAUUUUUGUAGUGGAAGACUGGCAGGUGUGCCAAGUGAGGCCAAAGUCCCAAUUGGAAGAAAAGCAGGAUGCCUGUCUUCAAUUGUUCCUUCCAUGAUACCAUGUGCAGAGAAAAUACAUGGUAUUAAAAGGGCCUAGGAAAGACCUUUCCAAAUUAAGAUUGCACCGACAUUUAAAGUUCAGCUUCAUACUCCUGUCAUCUCUCAAAAAAUAACAUCCAGCAUGCAAGAGAAAAUACAAUGGAGAUUUAAAACAAGCCAAGCCAGGUUGACAAAUGAGUCUCAUGUUUCAGCCUUUGACAUUACAGAAUUAGCAGAUUGGCAAGCAAAUAAAGAUGACUGCAGUCCUCCAGAGAAAACCUAAAUCCCCCACCUAUUAAAUUAUCACAAAUGCUGGUGUCCAACCAUUACUCCAGCACAGCUCCAGUACUUGCAGCUUCUAAACUGAGCAUCAUGUGAUUAGAAGGAUUUUUGAAAAUUUAUUCUAAUCACCUGGGUAACAGUUACAGACUUGCUGGCAGUUAAAAGUUCACAGUGCUGCUAUAACAGUUUGGGAAUUUGAAAGGGAUUGUCUCAAAACAUCUGGAGAUCACUAGAAUGGGAAAUGUUGAAGUCACUGAAUUCACACAAGAAAUCGGAUAAAAGGCUAUAAUGCGAGGAUUCCUUAAUUUGACACUGGGCUAAUUAAAACUUUUUUUAAAAAAUAUAUUUUUUAAAAAAAUCAGGACAAUUUCCUUUUUAUGGUUAUGAAAGUAGGAGUUGGAAGAGAAUUUAAAAUGACCUUCCCAUAGCAGGGAUUGUGAUUUUUGUAUGAAUUUGCCACAUUGAAGACUUGUGGAUACAGAUUAACUUGAUUCUGAGGAAAAGUGGAAAAAUAGUUCAAUGCAAGCUUGCAAGCAAAGUGAGGCAUACUUUAAAACAAGAAAACACCAACCUAAUUUUAUAUGCAUACAUCAGUAGGAUUCAGGUGGUGGCGUCUUGCCAGGAAUCAACUUUUGCAUUGUGAUAGUCCUUAGGAAUGGGCUUAACCCAAGCUAUCAAGUUUGCAGAAAUCCGCAUCAUUGUACAAAUCGUAUAAGAUAUGAUAUACUUGCCCAACUCAUCCCGAUUAGCUUUUCAGUUUCUACUUGCUCGUUCGAUUUUUCUCUUUAGGGAUUCUGUUCAAACAGCGAAGCUUGCAAAGUCCAUGCUUUUUUUAAAAUGUGUCAAUGACGUUUAAUUUCAGCCCAUGACUCUUUUGUGGACCUGUAACGCCUGGAAAAUAGGUUUGUGCGAUGGAAGUCGGGAUGAUGGGCGAGUCAAAAUGUAAAUACUUUUGCAGUAUUUACAAGGAGGUUAAGUGCGGGCGGCUACGGUUGCAAAAUCAUUAAUGGCAACGAGGAGUCGGUGAGUGGUUGGCUGCAUUGUGGACACGAGAGGGCAGUAGUCAAAUGUUUAUGCUUUCUGACGGUUUAGGAAGGGCUGUAGGUGGAGAAUAGGGCAUUUUAAGUCGGAGAAACCCGGCGCAGGAAAGGGACGCCAUUCUUUCUCCUUUCAAGGACUGGUGUAAGACUAAGUUGACGGGCAGCCGGAGAGCAAAAGAGGAGCAACAAAGGGCGGAUUAAAACAGCUGAGCCGUAUGCAGGUGCUUCACGAUGCAUUCCGCUACGCUUUCCUCAAAAGACGAGUCGGGCCUGCUUUUUUUUUUUUUUUUUUUUUUUGAGGCGGGCGCGUUUCAAUAAAAUGAACCAAUUUUAUUUUGGGAGUAAUCGGCAGCGUAGAAAUUGAAUAAGCUGUAAGAGCUAAAGUUAACGGUCUGUCAAAGCCCGCAGUUAAAGUGGCCGGUUUAUGUGGCUGCAGAGCAAAGAGAGCGACAGUUCUGAAAGCGAGAAAGGCUUUCCUAAACCUUCUUCCCAAGGUGGAGUAAGCACGUUUUAGAACGAUGCCCAGGUUUCGGAGUGCUGAAAAAAGCCCGGACGACGGCUAGAUGGCAGCAAAGCUAGGGAUAGUCCGGAAGUUUGCAGCCCGGAAAUGGUUGGGGGGGGGGGAAAGGUUGUGUGUUUUCUUUUUUUGCAGAAUUGACUGUCCUCCGCCCUAGAUGGCCCAGGCAGGUCUGCAUUUGCUCCCAUGUCAAUUCCUAGGCAAGAGAAUUCGACGCGCUUACUCAUAUUUAAAGCCCAAGAUAAAGGAAAGCAAAAGGCUACUGAGGAACAUAACACUAUGUGGCAAAGUGAAAAUGAGGAAUGUUGUGCUGCUGUUUCUCUUGGGAGCUUUUGGACUUUACUGGAUCCAGUACAAGUCCAGUCCCAAACCUGUCAGGACCUCUAUUGUCCAUCUUUUUGAAUGGCGAUGGGUUGACAUUGCUCUUGAAUGUGAAAGGUACUUAACCCAACAUGGAUUUGCAGGUGUUCAGGUUUCUCCUCCAAAUGAAAACCUUGUAAUUAUGAAUCCUUGGAGACCAUGGUGGGAGAGAUACCAGCCAGUUAGUUAUAAGUUAUGUUCACGCUCUGGAAAUGAAAGCGAGUUCAGAGAUAUGGUGACUAGAUGCAACAAUGUUGGAGUCCAUAUUUACGUGGAUGCUGUAUUCAACCAUAUGCUCAAUUCAGCAGCUGGAUCCGGUAACCAUGGAAUCUGUAAGAGCUAUUUCAAUGCAGAACGCCACGAUUUUCCUUCUGUCCCGUAUUCGAGAUUUGAUUUUAAUGAUCCAAUAUGUAAAACACCCAGUGGGGAUAUUGAAAACUACAGUGAUCCUAUUCAGGUUCGUUACUGUCGACUUUAUGGGCUCCUUGACCUUUCCCAGUGGAAAGACGAGGUGCGUUCAAAAAUAAUAGACUUCUUGAACCACCUGAUUGACCUUGGCGUUGCAGGGUUCCGAAUUGAUGCUGCUAAGCACAUAAGGCCCGAGGACAUCAAUGUUAUUUUAAGCAAACUAAAUAACCUCAAUGCCCGAUGGUUCACCAAAGGUUCACGACCUUUCAUCUAUCAAGAGGUAAUUGAUUUGGGUGGUGAAGCUGUCCAAAGCUCUGAAUACUUCAGAAAUGGCCGAGUGACUGAAUUUAAAUAUGGCAUGCAGCUGGGGAUUGUCCUUCGGAAAUGGAAUGGACAAAAGAUGGCAAAUUUGAAGAGCUGGGGAGAAAGCUGGCAUAUGAUGCCAUCUGAUAAAGCCUUCGUCUUUGUUGAUAAUCAUGACAACCAAAGGGGACAUGGAAGUGGUGGGUCCUCCAUUCUCACUUUUUGGAACCCUAGACUUUAUAAGAUGGCAGUAGGGUUUAUGCUUGCUCAUCCCUAUGGAUUCACACGAAUCAUGUCAAGCUACUGGUGGCCUAGAGAUAUCCAGAAUGGAACGGACUUGAAAGAUUGGGUUGGACCACCAAGCAAUAGUGAUGGAUCCAUUAAACCUGUGACAAUUUAUGCAAAUGAAACUUGUGGCAAUGGCUGGAUCUGUGAGCACCGUUGGGAUGAAAUUCGGAACAUGGUGAUAUUCCGAAAUGUUGUCUAUGGGGAGCCAAUUACAAACUGGUGGGACAACAAUAACAAUCAGGCAGCAUUUGGACGUGCUGGCAAAGGAUUUGUUGUGUUUAACAAUGAUGACAGGAACUUGUCGGUAGUCCUUCCAACUGGUCUUCCUGCUGGGGUUUAUUGUGAUGUCAUUUCAGGACAAAAAGAAGGCAACACUUGCACAGGAAUUCAAAUCCAUGUUGCUGCUAAUGGCAUGGCUCGUUUUCAGAUUAAUUACCAAGCAAAGCAUCCGUUCAUUGCAAUUCAUGUUGAAGCCAGACUGUAAUAUAUACUGAUGAACAUUUCUCCUAUUUGAUUGGUUUCUGUUCUCUGUGUAUUAUAAAGUUGAUUUUAUUUAUUACUUGUAUAGGCUGACUCCAUCAUAACUCAUGAUGGUGUACAGUGUAAGACAACUUACAGCAAUACAAUUCAAAACAAUACCAAAAACAUGUGGAAUAAAAUAAUAUAAACUUUAACAGACAGUUAUCCUACAAGGAAUCCUUUUCCAUCCCAUUCUAAACCAAGGCCUGGAAUGGUCAGUGAAGUCCAUAUGAGUAUCUGGGGGAGAGUAUAAUUCCAAAGAAUGAACAGUGCAACUGAGAAGGUUUGCUUCCUGAGUCCUACCAGGUGACAUUGCCUGAUUAUAUGGGAUGAAUAGAAACUUCGGAAGAUAGAUGGCCCCCAAACAAUUAGGCCCUUUGCCAUGAAGGGCUUUAUAAAUACCUUGAAGAGCAGCCUGAAGCUUACUGGUGCCCUGCAGAGUCAUUCCAACAUUGGACCUCAAUUCUUGCUAGCUGGGUGCUCUUGGAAAACCCUUCAAACAAAGUAUGAAGAUGGUAACUCCACCUCAGUGUUUGUCUCCCAACAAGCAAUUUUUAUGAGAAUAACCUCUCUGAACAGAAUGCUCAAAUUUUUACCUCUUGCAACUUGCAACUUUUGGACUUUAAAAUGGACUUGACUAAUAUUUGUGGAAACUAUUUGGAAGCUUUGGAGGGCUGAUGAAAAACCCUUAACAACCUGAUAAAGAGUUUUUGUCACUUCUCUGGGACAUGAAAGCUGCUUUUGCUAAUCAGUGGGUAUCAAUGGAAAAAGGAUCAAAAAGCAGGAAAUGAUUAUUUCCUAUCAGCUUCUGAUAAUUGCUUUUUCCCCCCUUUUCCCAGAUAAUAGCGUUUCUUGCCCAAACCAAGUUUUGUAUCACAAAUUUAAGGAAAUUGUGUUUUUUUUAAAUGAAAUAUAUCCCCAUACGGCCUUCUAUACAAAGAGGAUCAAAUGGUCUUCUAAUACCGAAAGAAAGUUCCACUCCUUUUUAUCAUCUCCGGAAUGUUUCAGGUUCUAACAAGUAGUGGCUCAGAGACAAUCUUGGCCUUUGAAUCACUAAUUAAUAGUGUUCAAAGGGGGCUAGGAGCUGAUUGUAGGCCAUGGGGUCCAUAUCAUUUAAGAAGCAAUUCCUGGUUUGGUAAAGAAUGUCUGAUGCUUAGGAACCAGAUUAACUGGACUUACUUGCUUUACCGUAACAGAGGGGACAAACGUCCACCAGAGGACUAUUAUCACCUGAAGUGGGAGUAUAAAGGGCUAAUUGUUAAGAAAAAGAGGGCUAAAGUGAGAGAGAAGUGGGAUUUACUUUUCUAUCCAGCAGAAGAACACCGGACUAUUUUGGCAAAUUGUUGCCAGCUCUCUCCCUGGUUACCAAGAACUCCCUCUCUGCUUUAUUUCUGACAGAGAUUGGGAAAAUCAUUGUUUGUCAAUUUUUCAGACUUCAAUAAUUUCGACCGAGCUUGGAUCACAACUGCCUCUUGCAAUUCCUAUAUGGCAACCCGUGACUCAUGCUGAAAUCGCUGAGCUUAUCUCAGAACUUAAGUCAGGCAAAGCCCCUGGCCCCGAUGCUAUUUUGCUAAAAUUUAAUCCCGACUGGUGGAUUCCUCUUUUGGCAACACUUUUCACCCAUAUUAAUUCCUCUGGUAGGAUUCUUACUUCUUGGAGUCUAGCAAUUAUUAUUCCAGUUUUAAAACGAGGAAACAGGAACAACCCUACCGAUUAUCGCCCUAUAAGCCUGCUUUCCAUCAUUGGGAAAUUGUAUGCUAAAUAUCUUCAAUGUAGACUCCUCAUUUGGGUGUCUAACAUUAUUGGUGCAGAGCAGAUUGGGUUUAAAGUGGGCUGUGCCACAUUGGACCAUUGUUUUGUCUUAGCACACCUGGUUGACAAAUAUGCUAUUACACUAGGUGGCAAACUCUUCACUGUUUUUAUCAAUUUAAAGGCAGUGUUUGACUCAGUCCUUAGGGAACUGUUGUGGUCAAAAUUGCACAAAAGUUCUAUUGACAGACAUCUUUUGUUCUUAAUCAGAUCUUUGUAUAAUCAGACCUCUAGCCAGGUUAGGUGCGGCUUGCAGGGAGAACUUUCAAAUCCUAUCCCGAUUGAGAGCGGAGUUAGGCAGGGCUGUCUCCUGGCCCCUCUUCUGUUUAAUUUAUUCUUAUCUGACCUGGCUUCUUACAUUGUACGCAUUGAGUCCCAUGCCCCAAAGUUGUCAAAUAUGAAGAUUCCGCUUCUUUAUGCUGAUGAUGUGGUCCUUCUAUCACAAUCAAGGCUCGGUCUAAAAAGAUUUAAAAAAGAGCCGAGGUGGCGCAGCAGUUAGAGUGCAGUACUGCAGGCCACUUUAGCUGACUGUGUUCAGCAGGUCAUCAGUUCAAAUCUCACCGGC